UGUUUUCAACAAGGAGCAUCACGGGAAAGGAAAGGCAAACGAGGAAAAGAGCGAAGGAAUGGCGUGACGUAUAGAAAGGGGCGGGGUUAACUACGCAUCUAGUGACGUUUUAAAGGAGGCGUGGUUAAACACACGCGCAGUGACGUCAAAAGGGGGCGGGGCCGCAGGACCAGCGCUUUUUUGUCCGGCCCAAGUCGCGCUUUCUGCUGCCAUGGCAACAUCGAAGCCAUGGCAGUUUGAGCGGGGCAGAACUGCGUUAACUCUAAAGUGUAGACACUUUCCUGUAUGAAUCUGGAAUAAAAAGCUGAAGAGCCAGAGGUGAGGACACACCUGCUGAACUGCUGAUGAGUGAGAACCAAGCCUUCCAACCGGAUGGAGAACUUCACGUCGCAACUGCCAACCAUGUUCUGGAUUUUGAAGUCUAGGAAUUUCGCCGGGAAGCCGAGUUUCUGCACCACGCGAGCGUACUUCCGGGCGGCCAGCCGGGACUGCUCUUCGCUGCAAGUCAACAGGAAAGUGACAUAAAGUGGGCCCUUGGUAUCUGCUGGGAUUUGGCUCCAAAGAUCCUCUGUGUAUACCAAAAUCCGUGGAUGCUUAAGUCCCAUCAUAUACAACGCCACAGUAAAAUGGCAUUCCUUCUAUAAAACGCCAAAAUCAGACUGAGACCCACUGAAAUAUUUUGCAAGACCCAUCCUUAAGAGUUGACUCACUGUAAUUGGGGAACGAUGCCUGAACUUUCGGAGGUUGGCGUCAUAGGAGUCAUUGGGGUCACAGGGAAGAAGCCCCCCAAGGAAUCAGACGAGGGCUGAGCUGCAUUUCCAUCCCUCGGCCGAGAUGGACUGCCGCUGUCCAAAAACAACCCAUUCUCUGGCAUCUCCAGCUGAGCCCCAUGUUCCUCUCUCAGCAUGUUGUCCCCAUUGUCCUCUUUGCUAUUCCGGUCCAAAUCGUCCGGUAGGAAGCUGAGGUCCACUGAAGAGAAAUCUUUGAUUUUAUCAGCCUGGGAACCGAAUGAUAUGUCCAAGGUCGGAGACAUGGGCAUGUCAGUCGUAAAAGGGCUCAUGGGAGGGAAUCCUUGUGGGCUGAUGGAUGGAAGGUCAUCCUACAAUAAAUAUAAAUGAGAAAAAGGGUUAAGACAUUGGGCCUUACAAAAUACUAGGUACCAUUGAGCAGAACUUUCAAACCCCAAGGGUCAUCAAACUGUAUUAAUUCCAUAGUGUAGGUGCACUUUGGAGCGUACUUCAGAGGAAGGAACUGGCCAAAACCAACUGAGUAUUCCCUCCUAAGAAAACUCAUUUAAAUGCAUAGGGUUGCCAUAAGUCAAUAACUUGAAGGCACAUGUGUAUAUGUGACUCUAGAUCAGGCAUGAUUUAGUACAGGUUUCUUAUCUUAAUGUCUAAAGUCCUACACAACUGAGGUCCCCUUAUUCCCCAUUACCUUAAAAUAUUGGAAUUCUAGGCUUUUUUACCCAACCAAAGAUUUUUCCUCCCUUGGUUUGGGGUGUAUCUACACUAUGGAAUUAAUGCAGUUUGGUACCACUUUACCUCUCAUGGCUCAAUGCUAUGGAGUAAUAGGAAUAAAUCUAUUAUUGUUGUUCAAUAAUGUAAGUGUUCUUAUAUAUCCAGUUUGAGAACAUUUAUAAUGCAGUUUUCUCUCUAGAUUAGCAUGCAUUUGAAAGACAAUGAAUUCUCGGGGCUUUCAACAACAACAACAACAACAACAACAACAACAACAACCACCACCACCACCACCACCACCACCACCACCACCACCACCACCACCACCACCACCACCACCAUCAUCAUCUCAAUCUUACAUUUUGACUUGGCACCUAAAAAAAAUAAAUCAGAAUUGGCAUCUGAAUAAGCACAAGUGUAACAACACUGUAGAAUUAAUGCAGGUUGACACAGUGAAACCCCUUCUUCAAUGCCCUAUCAUUUGAAUUGCUUCCUACAGACAUAAUUAUUAUAAUUAGAAGUACAAGAGAAAUAAUAUAACUAUAUAUUUAGUCAUUGCAAGAAUAAAUGCAAUUUGCUGAACUUUGCAAUAGAAUGGCUCAUUUGCAUGGUCUGGACUAAAGAACAAUUCACAAUACUAUUACUAUGAGCAGCAGAAAUAACAAGAACAGCAGCAGCAGCAGCAAUAAUAAUAAUAAUAAUAAUAAUAAUAAUAAUAAUAAUAAUAAUAAUAAUAAUAAUAAUAUAAUGUAUAGCCAACUUUUCUCUCGAUUGACAACUAAAGUGGCUCACAACAUUCAAAACAAUACAAUUUAUAACCCAGAAUAUAUAAAUAUGCAACUAUUCUAGUUCCACCUAGUAAGCUUGGAAAUAAUUACACUAUGGCCCCAUCUACACUGCCAUAUAAAAUCCAGAUUCUGCUUUUAUAAUCUGGAUUAUAUGGCAGUGUAGAAGGGGCCUAAGUAACACGGAUUUUUGUUCCUGGGUUAUAAAUGUCUUUUCUUAAUUGGUUCUAUCAUAAAAACAUGGGCAGCAUUUAUUAAACUGCAAAAACGUUGUCUUUGUGGGAGGGACAUUAUCCUGCAGCACAUUUUGCUUUAGUUUUUCAAUGAGUAUCUCAUAGAGUCUCAGCCAAUUCAACCUAGUUUGUGGCAGCCACAAAAACUCUGCUUUUGAAGUCUAUCAACUACUUUCAAAGUAAGUUCCACACAAUUAAUAACAGGAAAUGCUUUCAAACCAGGAAGACAAAAUCUUUCAAAUUUGGUUAUAAAUGCCACUCAUAGUUCCUAAAAAGCCUUUUGGGGCCAAGGAAAAAUGUUGAUAUCUACCUUGAGUUCCUAUGUCAAGAGAAAGGUGAGAUAGAAAUAAAAUAAAUGAGAAAGUAAAUGAAUAAAGUGAGAAAUAAGUUGAAGGGAUGUGCCCUAAAGUCAUGUUCAGCAUCCUUUCUCUUUACCUGGUUUGUGCAUUGGUCUAAGUAGCUUUCUAGGGAGAAUUCCCCAUCCAUGGCUCUUCAAGCUCUGGGAGAACUGACUUCUGAAUUCUCUAGGGUAGAUGAGAUGUUGGAAAGUUCACCCCCAACUUCAUCUUUCCAGCAAAGGCGAGUCAGAUAAAUACCUGCAGCUGUGUGAAUGAGGAUGCAAAGUGGAGAUCCAGGUGCACUGAAUGAAAAAGGCUGAGAUUGGGGGCCAUUCAUUCUCAGGUGAACAGAAUAUAUAAAUAUACAACUAACAAGAUCCAAGUUCAUUUCCUCAGCUAGUUUCUAAGGUGAGAAAAGAUCUGUUUACAUACUGAUAUUCCAGACAAGUGUAGCAACAACUUUAAAGCAUCCUUUAGGAUUUAAUAAAUCAGCAAAGACAUAACAUUCAUGGAUUCUUAAUACUUUAGGCUGGAUCUACACAUUGGGCAAUUUUAGAUGCACAAAACAGGCCUUUUAAUAACUGGGAAUAAGCCAGAAGUGAGUUCUAGUUUUGAAAAAAACGCUUCUCCUGGGCUUAAAAACAGUUCAAGACAACAUAAAAACAUAGCAAAACUGCCACAUUCCCUAGAAGGCAUUUUGAGACAAGAAAUGCAGCCCCAUAGCCUCCCAUGAUUAUCCAUAUUUGCAUAGAAAAACAAUAUAAGAUCAAGUCGGGGGUUCGGUGGUUUUAGCUAUGAAUUAAGUUUUUAGCCAGUUUAUUUCUUUUAAUGCAUUAAUAUGUAAUUCUAUUUUAAUGUAUUUGUAGGUCUAAAAUAGUAUUGUAUUAGCUUUACUGUAAAUUUGUUUGAUCUUUUUUUUAAAAAAGCAGGUUAUAAAUAAUAAUUCAGUGUUUCUGUGAUAGAGAGCAAAAGGAAGGCUUCGCAGAAGGCAACUUUUACAAUUAAUGUAGCUUACAUGAAUUAUGCCAUAUCCAGAAUUUUCAAAGCCAAAAUACUUCAAAUUUGUUCAUUUGGGUUGCUUUCUGAUGGUUCAAUGUACACAAACUUGGUGUCGUGCACAAAAUUAUUUAAAAUCUUGUGUUCAAAAUAAUAAUCAGGCUAAGCGUAUAUGAAAAAUCAAUUGAUUUUAUGUUUACAUUUGUGUCUUUUUUUAAUGGUAUUUUAUUAUUUAUAUACAUGCAUUAAAAAAUCCGGGGGGGGGGGGGUGAUUCUUCUGGUCCUAAAUAUUUUGUACUGUAUUUCAAUGUAAUAUAUUUGUUACCCUUCUCUACUAAUGCCUUGAGUUGUGAUACGAUACAGUUAAAACAUAUCAACAUAAAAUACAUACAAGGAAAUACAUAUAUUAUAUAUUAUGAUUAGGCUCCUUCUUUAGAGGAUUUUAAGCAGAGGCCAGAUGGCCAUCUGUCAGGGGUGCUUUGAAUGCGAUUUUCCUGCUUCUUGGCAGGGGGUUGGACUGGAUGGCCCAUAAAGUCUCUUCUAACUCUAGGAUUCUAUGAUUAUAUUAAAUAAAACACAGGGUAGCUGGUUACAUUAAAUGUGUACUUUGCCUACCAAUCUUUCCAUGCAAGAUGUAAUCAAAGGACUCUUCUGAAAGGAAGGAAAAACACACACAAUGCUACAAUUUCAUUUUUCUAUGUUUAAUAGAUGACUAAAGUAAACUACAACAUUACAUUGGCAAAGAUAGUUGCAUGUGCAGUUCUGAGCUCAGAGAAGCUUCAGUUUCAAAUGCUUUAAAUAAUAAUAAAAGCCAAAGUCUUGUGA